CUACGGGUGGCUCCAGUGGGGAAUAUUGGACAAUGGGGGAAACCCUGAUCCAGCAAUGCCGCGUGUGUGAAGAAGGCCUGCGGGUUGUAAAGCACUUUCGGUUGGGAGGACUGCUUCUAGCACUAAUAUUGUUGGAAGUUGACGUUACCUACAGAAGAAGCACCGGCUAACUCAGUGCCAGCAGCCGCGGUAAUACUGAGGGUGCAAGCGUUAAUCGGAAUUACUGGGCGUAAAGCGCGCGUAGGUGGUUAGAUCAGUCGGGUGUGAAAGCCCCGGGCUUAACCUGGGAACUGCAUCCGAUACUGUCUAGCUUGAGUACAGGAGAGGAGAGUGGAAUUCCACAUGUAGCGGUGAAAUGCGUAGAUAUGUGGAGGAACACCAAUGGCGAAGGCAGCUCUCUGGCCUGAUACUGACGCUGAGGUGCGAAAGCGUGGGGAGCAAACAGGAUUAGAUACCCGCGUAGUC
rnacentral:rRNA from 1 species